rnacentral:rRNA from 1 species
GACGAACGCUGGCGGCGUGCCUAAUACAUGCAAGUGGAACGCUGAAGGAGGAGCUUGCUUCUCUGGAUGAGUUGCGAACGGGUGAGUAACGCGUAGGUAACCUGCCUGGUAGCGGGGGAUAACUAUUGGAAACGAUAGCUAAUACCGCAUAAUAGCAGUUGUUGCAUGAUAACUGUUUGAAAGGUGCAAUUGCACCACUACCAGAUGGACCUGCGUUGUAUUAGCUAGUUGGUGGGGUAACGGCUCACCAAGGCGACGAUACAUAGCCGACCUGAGAGGGUGAUCGGCCACACUGGGACUGAGACACGGCCCAGACUCCUACGGGAGGCAGCAGUAGGGAAUCUUCGGCAAUGGACGGAAGUCUGACCGAGCAACGCCGCGUGAGUGAAGAAGGUUUUCGGAUCGUAAAGCUCUGUUGUAAGAGAAGAACGAGUGUGAGAGUGGAAAGUUCACAUUGUGACGGUAUCUUACCAGAAAGGGACGGCUAACUACGUG